rnacentral:rRNA from 1 species
AUUGAACGCUGGCGGCAGGCUUAACACAUGCAAGUCGAGCGAGCGGCGGACGGGUGAGUAAUGUCUGGGAAACUGCCUGAUGGAGGGGGAUAACUACUGGAAACGGUAGCUAAUACCGCAUACCAUCAGAUGUGCCCAGAUGGGAUUAGCUAGUUGGAGGGGUAACGGCCCACCAAGGCGAUGAUCAGUAGCCGGUCUGAGAGGAUGAACGGCCACAUUGGGACUGAGACACGGUCCAGACUCCUACGGGAGGCAGCAGUGGGGAAUAUUGCACAAUGGGCGCAAGCCUGAUACAGCCAUGCCGCGUGUGUGAAGAAGGCCUUCGGGUUGUAAAGCACUUUCAGCGAGGAGGCGUUACUCGCAGAAGAAGCACCGGCUAACUCCGUGCCAGCAGCCGCGGUAAUUC